rnacentral:rRNA from 1 species
GCCCAACACACAAAACAAGCGGUGAGUGCUUUGGGGUGGGGUGACUGCGUACCUUUUGUAUAAUGGGUCAGCGACUUAUAUUCUGUAGCAAGGUUAACCGAAUAGGGGAGCCGGAGGGAAACCGAGUCUUAAUUGGGCGUUAAGUUGCAGGGUAUAGACCCGAAACCCGGUGAUCUAGCCAUGGGCAGGUUGAAGGUUGGGUAACACUAACUGGAGGACCGAACCGACUAAUGUUGAAAAAUUAGCGGAUGACCUGUGGCUGGGGGUGAAAGGCCAAUCAAACCGGGAGAUAGCUGGUUCUCCCCGAAAGCUAUUUAGGUAGCGCCUCGUGAACUCAUCUCCGGGGGUAGAGCACUGUUUCGGCUAGGGGGCCAUCCCGGCUUACCAACCCGAUGCAAACUGCGAAUACCGGAGAAUGUUAUCACGGGAGACACACGGCGGGUGCUAACGUCCGUCGUGAAGAGGGAAACAACCCAGACCGCCAGCUAAGGUCCCAAAGUCAUGGUUAAGUGGGAAACGAUGUGGGAAGGCCCAGACAGCCAGGAUGUUGGCUUAGAAGCAGCCAUCAUUUAAAGAAAGCGUAAUAGCUCACUGGUCGAGUCGGCCUGCGCGGAAGAUGUAACGGGGCUAAACCAUGCACCGAAGCUGCGGCAGCGAACGUAUCACCCAAGACAACUUUGCGGAGUUGACGAUUGACGGAGCGAAGCGACGUCAAAGCGUUCAUUAAAGUCGAGUUGGCUUAGGGAUACGUUCGUUGGGUAGGGGAGCGUUCUGUAAGCCAGUGAAGGUGUGUCGUGAGGCAUGCUGGAGGUAUCAGAAGUGCGAAUGCUGACAUAAGUAACGAUAAAGCGGGUGAAAAGCCCGCUCGCCGGAAGACCAAGGGUUCCUGUCCAACGUUAAUCGGGGCAGGGUGAGUCGACCCCUAAGGCGAGGCCGAAAGGCGUAGUCGAUGGGAAACGGGUUAAUAUUCCCGUACUUGGUGUUACUGCGAAGGGGGGACGGAGAAGGCUAUGUUGGCCGGGCGACGGUUGUCCCGGUUUAAGCGUGUAGGCUGGUUUUCCAGGCAAAUCCGGAAAAUCAAGGCUGAGGCGUGAUGACGAGGCACUACGGUGCUGAAGCAACAAAUGCCCUGCUUCCAGGAAAAGCCUCUAAGCAUCAGGUAACAUCAAAUCGUACCCCAAACCGACACAGGUGGUCAGGUAGAGAAUACCAAGGCGCUUGAGAGAACUCGGGUGAAGGAACUAGGCAAAAUGGUGCCGUAACUUCGGGAGAAGGCACGCUGACACGUAGGUGAAGUGAUUUACUCAUGGAGCUGAAGUCAGUCGAAGAUACCAGCUGGCUGCAACUGUUUAUUAAAAACACAGCACUGUGCAAACACGAAAGUGGACGUAUACGGUGUGACGCCUGCCCGGUGCCGGAAGGUUAAUUGAUGGGGUCAGCGCAAGCGAAGCUCCUGAUCGAAGCCCCGGUAAACGGCGGCCGUAACUAUAACGGUCCUAAGGUAGCGAAAUUCCUUGUCGGGUAAGUUCCGACCUGCACGAAUGGCGUAAUGAUGGCCAGGCUGUCUCCACCCGAGACUCAGUGAAAUUGAACUCGCUGUGAAGAUGCAGUGUACCCGCGGCAAGACGGAAAGACCCCGUGAACCUUUACUAUAGCUUGACACUGAACAUUGAGCCUUGAUGUGUAGGAUAGGUGGGAGGCUUUGAAGCGUGGACGCCAGUCUGC